rnacentral:misc_RNA from 1 species
GAAAUGCGAUAAGUAAUGUGAAUUGCAGAAUUCAGUGAAUCAUCGAAUCUUUGAACGCACCUUGCGCUCCUUGGUAUUCCUUGGAGCAUGCCUGUUUGAGUAUCAUGAAAUCUUCAAAGUAGAAUCCUUUUGUUAACUCGAUUGGUUUUGCUUUGGUAUUGGAGGUCUUUGCAGUUUCACACCUGCUCCUCUUUGUGUAUUAGCUGGAUCUCGGUGUUAUGCUUGGUUCCACUCGGCGUGAUAAGUUUAUCUAUCGCUGAGGACACUGUAAAAGGUGGCCAAGGGAAACGCAGAUGAACCGCUUCUAAUAGUCCAUUUAUUUGGACAACAAUUUAUUUAUGAUUUGAUCUCAAAUCAGGUAGGACUACCCGCUGAACUUAA